AUACGGAGGAUCCGAGCGUUAUCCGGAUUUAUUGGGCGUAAAGCGAGUGCAGGCGGUUCAAUAAGUCUGAUGUGAAAGCCUUCGGCUCAACCGGGGAGGGUCAUUGGAAACUGGGGAACUUGAAUGCAGAAGAGGAGAGUGGAAUUCCAUGUGUAGCGGUGAAAUGCGUAGAUAUAUAGAGGAACACCGGUGGCGAAAGCGGCUCUCUGGUCUGUAACUGACGCUGAGGCUCGAAAGCGUGGGGAGC
rnacentral:rRNA from 1 species